rnacentral:rRNA from 1 species
GUAGUGGGGGAUAACGUCCGGAAACGGACGCUAAUACGGCAUACGUCCUACGGGAGAAAGCGGGGGACCUUCGGGCCUUGCGCUAUCAGAUGAGCCUAGGUCGGAUUAGCGUAGUUGGUGGGGUAAUGGCUCACCAAGGCGGCGAUCCGUAACUGGUCUGAGAGGAUGAUCAGUCACACUGGAAAAGAGACACGGUCCACCCUCCUACGGGAGGCAGCAGUGGGGAAUAUUGGACAAUGGGCGAAAGCGGAUCCA